UAGGGAAUCUUCCACAAUGGGCGAAAGCCUGAUGGAGCAACGCCGCGUGUGUGAUGAAGGGUUUCGGCUCGUAAAACACUGUUGUAAGAGAAGAAUGACAUUGAGAGUAACUGUUCAAUGUGUGACGGUAUCUUACCAGAAAGGAACGGCUAAAUACGUGACAG
rnacentral:rRNA from 1 species